GUUAACAUUUUCCGUAAAUUUAAGAUAAAAUCAUUGUUCAGUGAUUUGUGAUCACAUAAAUUAUUCAUCGUGCAAUAUCUGUAUUAUUACAAUCUAAUGUUCGUGGCUCAUUUUAUCAUCUGGAAAGUGGUGCCUCCUAGACUAGACCGUAUAUAUCAAACCCAAUUCGAUGAAAUUGAAUAAACGCGCCAACAAUUCCAUCCAUCCAGAUCCAGAAAAACAUUACAGAACCAACGUGAUUUAGUUUUUGAGCUAGCGUUGUAUACAAU